GAUGAACGCUAGCGGGAGGCCUAACACAUGCAAGCCGAGCGGUAUUGUUUCUUCGGAGAUGAGAGAGCGGCGUACGGGUGCGUAACACGUGUGCAACCUGCCUUUAUCUGGGGGAUAGCCUUUCGAAAGGAAGAUUAAUACUCCAUAAUAUAUUGAACGGCAUCGUUUAAUAUUGAAAGCUCCGGUGGAUAGAGAUGGGCACGCGCAAGAUUAGCUAGUUGGUGAGGUAACGGCUCACCAAGGCGAUGAUCUUUAGGGGGCCUGAGAGGGUGGUCCCCCACACUGGUACUGAGACACGGACCAGACUCCUACGGGAGGCAGCAGUGAGGAAUAUUGGUCAAUGGGUGCAAGCCUGAACCAGCCAUCCCGCGUGAAGGACGACUGCCCUAUGGGUUGUAAACUUCUUUUGUAUAGGGAUAAACCUACCCUCGUGAGGGUAGCUGAAGGUACUAUACGAAUAAGCACCGGCUAACUCCGUGCCAGCCGCCGCGGUAA
rnacentral:rRNA from 1 species